GAAACAUUGGAUAUUUCUUCCAAAUAUCUUUCACAGAACGCUGUGGAUGAGGUGGAACGAGGACCUGCAUUUGACAUAUUGAUUAAGAAGCUGGAAGCUGAAGGGUCUCAGGAGUUCACACCACAAUACGAUGUCUUAAAAACCAAUUUCAUCGCUGCAUAUGUACUAAAAUCAGCGCCAGGGCUAUGCAGCAUCACCCCGGAUCCCGAAGCCGCUCCAGUGUUCGUGAAGGCUUUGCACGCUGUAGCUGACAGCGCUUGCCCUCCUAAUUUGAAGCAGGAUAUGGAUGGUACAAAAAUACGAUAACAAUUUGGUAUCGA